UACGGAGGAGGCAAGCGUUAUCCGGAAUUAUUGGGCGUAAAGCGUCCGUAGGUGGUUGGCCAAGUCUGCUGUCAAAGGGUGGGGCUUAACCUCAUAAAGGCAGUGGAAACUGGCGAGCUAGAGUGCGGUAGGGGUAGGGGGAAUUCCCAGUGUAGCGGUGAAAUGCGUAGAGAUUGGGAAGAACAUCGGUGGCGAAAGCGCCCUGCUGGGCCUGCACUGACACUGAGGGACGAAAGCGUGGGGAGCAAACAGG
rnacentral:rRNA from 1 species